rnacentral:rRNA from 1 species
GGGCGUCUUAUUUGCUUUAUUGCACCACAUGUGUUUUUCUUUGAAACAAACUUGCUUUGGCGGUGGGCCCAGCCUGCCGCCAGAGGUCUAAACUUACAACCAAUUUUUUAUCAACUUGUCACACCAGAUUAUUACUUAAUAGUCAAAACUUUCAACAACGGAUCUCUUGGUUCUCGCAUCGAUGAAGAACGCAGCGAAAUGCGAUACGUAAUAUGAAUUGCAGAUAUUCGUGAAUCAUCGAAUCUUUGAACGCACAUUGCGCCCUCUGGUAUUCCGGAGGGCAUGCCUGUUUGAGCGUCGUUUCUCCCUCAAACCGCUGGGUUUGGUGUUGAGCAAUACGACUUGGGUUUGCUUGAAAGACGGUAGUGGUAAGGCGGGAUCGCUUUGACAAUGGCUUAGGUCUAACCAAAAACAUUGCUUGCGGCGGUAACGUCCACCACGUAUAUCUUCAAACUUUGACCUCAAAUCAGGUAGGACUACCCGCUGAACUUAAGCAUAUCAAAAGCCGGAGGAA